UCUUACGGAGCAGGAGCCAGAUACCAUUCUGGAGAACAGGGCGAGGGAAGAGGUGGAGGGGUUCUGUGGAAGCUUGAGGCUGAGCGGAGAAAUUAGGGCUGGAAAUCCAGUGGCUCAGGGCCAGGAUGAAGUCAGGGGAGGUGCUAAAGCCUUUUUCCUCCUGGCCUCAGGCACUCUCUUUGGUCCGCCAGAGUCUUAAGAGGGCACAGCGUGGAUCACUCAGGUAGGUCCCUGGCCCCUUCAGACUACAACGAGCCGGAUGAAUCCCUGUACCUGUUUCUUUCGGCUGGGGAAAGGACGCAGGGGUUCCAUUCGCUUUCUCAGCCCACCCGUCUUCUUGAGUUCAGACCUACAACUCCUGCAGUGGGGGGUCGGAAGGGAGUCUUAAUCAUCGGGACAGAAACUCAGCUCCCCAACCUCUGCUAAACCCGCGUGGCGGCCUUCUUCCUUGCUGCCUGGGCGCGGGGCGGGGCCUGGGCGCGGGACGGGAGGCGGUGACCAGCAGCAGGAGGAGAAAGAACAUGGCGGGCGCAUCGGGGCUCGGGACCGGCCCAGGAGCAGCCGGGGGAGAUGGAGAUGAUUCGCUAUAUCCAAUCGCGGUUUUAAUCGACGAGCUCCGCAAUGAAGACGUGCAGCUCCGACUCAACAGUAUUAAGAAGUUAUCAACAAUUGCCCUAGCACUUGGAGUAGAAAGGACGCGAAGUGAAUUGUUGCCAUUCCUUACAGAUACAAUUUAUGAUGAAGAUGAGGUAUUAUUAGCUCUUGCUGAGCAGCUGGGAAAUUUCACUGGCCUAGUGGGAGGUCCUGACUUUGCCCACUGUCUGCUGCCUCCUUUGGAAAAUCUGGCAACUGUGGAAGAGACUGUUGUUCGUGACAAGGCUGUGGAGUCCCUGAGACAGAUCUCCCAGGAGCAUACUCCUGUUGCUCUGGAAGCUUAUUUUGUACCUCUGGUGAAACGCCUAGCAAGUGGGGAUUGGUUCACCUCUCGCACGUCUGCAUGUGGUUUGUUCAGCGUUUGCUAUCCCAGGGCAUCAAAUGCUGUUAAAGCAGAAAUCAGACAGCAAUUCCGUUCCUUGUGCUCAGAUGACACACCAAUGGUACGACGUGCUGCUGCUUCCAAAUUGGGUGAAUUUGCAAAAGUUUUGGAAUUAGACAGUGUGAAAAGUGAAAUUGUUCCACUCUUCACUAAUCUAGCUUCAGAUGAACAGGAUUCAGUGCGUCUGCUAGCUGUGGAAGCUUGUGUCAGUAUUGCCCAGUUACUGUCUCAGGAUGACCUUGAGACUUUGGUGAUGCCUACACUUCGACAAGCAGCAGAAGAUAAAUCUUGGCGAGUUCGCUAUAUGGUGGCUGACAAAUUUUCAGAGCUCCAGAAAGCCAUGGGUCCUAAAAUCACCCUAAAUGACCUCAUCCCCGCCUUUCAGAACCUACUUAAGGACUGUGAAGCUGAAGUCCGGGCGGCUGCUGCCCACAAAGUAAAAGAACUUGGUGAGAACUUGCCCAUUGAAGAUAGAGAGACCAUAAUUAUGAAUCAGAUUCUGCCCUAUAUAAAGGAAUUAGUAUCCGAUACCAAUCCACAUGUCAAAUCAGCUCUAGCUUCUGUAAUUAUGGGAUUGUCUACUAUUUUGGGCAAAGAGAAUACCAUUGAACAUCUUCUACCUCUUUUUUUAGCUCAGUUAAAGGAUGAGUGUCCUGAAGUUCGUUUGAAUAUCAUCUCCAAUUUGGAUUGUGUAAAUGAAGUGAUUGGAAUCCGUCAGCUCUCUCAGUCUCUCCUUCCUGCCAUAGUGGAGCUGGCUGAAGAUGCCAAAUGGAGGGUCCGGCUGGCCAUCAUUGAGUAUAUGCCACUGCUGGCAGGCCAGCUGGGUGUGGAAUUCUUUGAUGAAAAGCUGAAUUCUUUAUGUAUGGCUUGGCUUGUGGACCAUGUAUACGCCAUCCGAGAAGCUGCCACCAACAACCUCAUGAAACUAGUUCAGAAGUUUGGUACAGAGUGGGCCCAAAAUACCAUCGUUCCCAAAGUGUUAGUAAUGGCAAAUGAUCCUAAUUACUUGCAUAGAAUGACUACUUUAUUCUGCAUUAAUGCACUGUCUGAGGCCUGUGGUCAGGAAAUAACCACUAAGCAAAUGCUGCCCAUCGUAUUAAAAAUGGCAGGAGACCAAGUAGCAAAUGUUCGCUUCAAUGUGGCCAAAUCUCUACAAAAAAUUGGACCAAUUCUAGAUACCAAUGCUUUACAGGGAGAAGUUAAGCCAGUACUACAGAAGUUAGGUCAAGAUGAAGACAUGGAUGUCAAAUACUUUGCACAGGAAGCUAUAAGUGUUCUUGCAUUGGCAUAAUGAGGAGCAGGAGGGAAAAGACCUUUACUAAAUUCUUAUCACAGAUUUCUAGUCAAUGUGUUCUUAACUGGGUGGAGAAAGAAUGGAAAACCUUCAAGAUCUCAUCCAAGCAAAUGGCAACAACUUAGAAGAAAUCAAAUUUUAGUGACCUGAUUCUUUCUAAAGAUGAAAUGGGAUUGUUUUUUACUCGUCUUCCUUGUUAAGUCAUUAUUUAAGCCAUUCUUACUGACCAAUUCCUGACACUUGAUACUUGAUUGUCUCCUAAUGCUUUAUCCAUCACCACCUGGGCUCCUGCAUCCUCACUGUGGAAUCAGGCCCCAGCCACAUAAUGUUCCAGACAAAGCCUGGAAGGGUGUGGACCCAGGCGUGGAGUGGAGUGAUUCUCUUGACGUUUACAUAUAUGUCUGUGUCUCUCCAUCAUUCCAAAGUUAAAUGUACAUGUUUAGAAUAACUUAUUUUAUAAACUCUUUGGGAGGCAUGUUGAGAUUUCACCGUAGUGAAAGCCACAUUUUCCUGCAUUAUGAUGGUCUGCAUCAGUCUCAUCAGUCUCACGUGAAAGGGGAAUGUGGAAGCUCAGGGUUAAUGUAGUGGUUAUUUUGGUUUUUAUUUGCUCGUGUCUGUAUUUUGGUUUUUAUUUGCUCAUGUCUGUAGUCAUGUCAUUCAGAAACCUGAAGUGUGGCUGCAUCUUGCUGCUAAUGUGUGAUGUUGACACCUAACUGAAUUUGAACAGUUCACCACUGUGCCUACAUUUAAAAAUACUUCUCUCUCUUUUCUGAAAAGCUUUAUCUGUAGUGCCUCGUAAUAAGCAGUAUGUCUGUUUCAUUGUAAGAUUGCAGUUCUGUAUUUUGAAUGAGUCUGAGAACCACAGGGAUAAUACUUUUCAAACUGCAGUUUUACUGCUAAUUUUUUAGUAUAGGUGAUGCUGGAGUCUUAUUUGAAGUGUUUGCUUUUCUACUUUUACAGUAAAACCUCAUUAAUUCUGAAAUUUAAGAUAAUGAGUUAAGCCGAAGAGUUUACUAAGAAGCAAAUUAAUAGUAAGGAAGCCUAUUUGAACUACUAAACAGUUUUAAAGCCCUUUUUAAAAAGCACCCAUUUGGGGUCGUUUGAGGUCAAGAGUUUGAGAUCAGCCUGACCAACAUGGUGAAACCCCGUCUCUACUAAAAAUACAAAAAAGUUAGCUGGGCAUGAUGGCACACACUUGUAGUCCCAGCUACUCAGGAGGCUGAGACAGGAGAAUUGCUUGAACCUGGAGGCAGAGGUUGCAGUGAGGGAAGAUCGCACCCCUGCACUCUAGCCUGGGCCAUAGAGCGAGACUCCGUGUCAAAAAUGAAACAAAACAAAAAAACAAUUUUUCACAUAAUCAAACUCACCCUGUCUCAUGACUUUUGGUUAAGGGGGUUUUCCCAUAGUUUAUUUUUCUCUCAGUGCAUCUUGCUAUGCGGUUUGUUUGUUACCCUUUUGGUUUUUGAAUUGUUGAUUUUGUUCACAACCUCUUUUAAAUCUAGCAAGUCCUGUUCUGUUUAGUGAAGGCCCAAAGACUCCUCUAAGACUUUGUGCAUUUGUUACAUAAAGCCAAGUUUUACUAAAUACUUUCAAAUUUGUCCUACAUUUGAAAAACAGAACAGAAAUUGUAAAUCAGAGGUUAUCUGUCUGCAUUUUAAACCACCAAAUUACCUUACAUUAAGUUUCUAUUUUAUGACUUUGGGCUGAGAAUUAAGUGUUUUCCUAAGCAAAAAUCUUUUUCUGUAUUCUCAUUUUAUUAUCUUAUGCUAUUAUUCUAUAAACAUUUUAAUUUUGGUUUCAUAGGCGUUUAUUUUUUAUUACCUGCAAGUUCUUCUUCACUGAAUUUCAUACUUGAGAGACAUUUGUCUUCAUGAAACAGAUUUGCAUUGGAACCAUUGCUUUACUGUAGUUGGAAAUACCAUUGUUUUGGGGACAGACUUUUAAAAUGCCCUCGUGUCUCCCCCUGAGGAGCCCUAAGCAUUGACUUCUCCACCCUAAAAUUGAGAGAGGGAGAGUGGGCCCUGGCUUUCUCAAGCAUGGGUCAGGGGGUUCAGUGGGGCCUCUGUCUUUUGUGGUGACCCCUCAGGGGUUUCAUUGUUACCUUCUGAAUUAAGCAAAAGAGAAUUUGCUUUGGUACUCUUUGGAGGAAUUGUGCUUUGGCUCAUAACUUGGCCAUGUUCUCUAUGAAUUAGUUCUCCUAUUUUUUUUUUUAAAACUACCUUAAACUUAAGGGGAAAUUUCUCCUAUCUUGAUUUCACUGGAAUAUAGGCUUUAGGAGCUCUGUAAGGCUGGUAUUUUUGUCUGUUUUAUCUUCUGUAUUGCCAGUGCCUGGAACAGUAUCUGGUGCACAUAAUAGGUGCUCAAUAAAAAUGUGUUCCAGUGGAUGAAUUUCUAAAAUAUCCUCUGAUGUGUUGUGUACAUGGAACAAAUCAUCAAAAGAACCAGAGUGUGUCUUAUUCUCCCAUUGACACAAAGAUUUUCCUGCUCUCAGGAAACAAGCUUUAUGUGGCCCUUCUCUGGUCCACUGGCUUAGACUACAGUUCUGUGUGGAUUUAUCUGGUUGCUUGAAACGUGUUGUUUUUCAUCCUUGGCAGCUUACAUCAGUUGUUUGAUUAGAAAAAUGAAGCAGACACACACACACACACACACACACACACACACACACACACACACACACGUAUUACCUGUGCCGAUACAAAUGUCUCAGCAGCAAUGGAAUUCACCUUGGUGUUUCUCUACAAUUUGUGUGGGGUUUACUCCUCACAGGUUUAAGAGACCAGGUCUUGUUUCUUUCUCUGUGCUACCAAGAAGAUGUGAACCUGAGGAUGCAUCUUGUUUCAUAAGAAGGAAAACAGGUGAAUACGUGGUUUCUAAUGAGGUCUUGUUGAAAUAACGGGCUGCCCUCAGCUCACAGAAAUACCACAGCAGCCACUGUGAUGCAGAGCCCCAGGGGUCUUCGCCAGACCGCUUGUCCCGUCUCAACAGACGGCAGCCUGACCUUGGAGCUGGCUUGCCCAAGCAUUCAGGUUGUUUGCGUAGACCUCUAGGGAAGCAAGCCUGUCCUUCCUGACCCGGCAGUUAACCUGGUGCACUUUUGUUCCUUUGUGAACCGUUGUGUUGUCACUAAACCGAAAGGCUGGGGCUUGCCCUUAGACGUCACAUUGGCUCUGUCCCUGUGGCGACGGCAGGGCAGGGUGGCCAGACAGGUUAGGUCCUUGUCCUGUCCUCUUGCCUUUUACUUAAAUUCCUCUGACUUAAAAAUGGUGACACCCUUAUCGUAAAGCUUCCGAUUUUUCUCCACUGCUUGGAUAUGAAACUAGAGGGAGAGGCCCUGUUGCCCAGUGUUCUCCUGGUUUACCAGCUGAGGUGACUGCAGUCUGAUGUGAUGUCAUUGUUUCCCUUUGAUUCUCCAGUAUUCCUGUUUCCAUCCAGUUCCUUACUCCCCUCUUUCCUCGUCCCUCGCACGUCUCCCUCCAGUCCUCUGUACCUAGAAUAGUCUCACUGCCCCGUUUGCCUCCACGAGCCUGCUGUUUCCAGGAAAUUACAUAACGUUCAGUUGGGAUGGAAAUCUGGAGGACGAAGAGAGUAAUUCCUCAUUGCGUCAAAAAGCCAAGUCAUUUCUGUCUCCAGAGUUGUUCUCUUACACUGAGAGGAGUUCUGAAAGGAGCCAGGUCUUUCCUGUGGUCAGGGCUCUGGAGGCCAUCAGUGACCAAGAUGUAGGGAACAGCCAGGUGGACACCAGAAGGCCCGAUGGGGUGGCGCUUUCCAGGGCCCCGAGGGAAAGGCACCUCAGCACGACCUGGACUGCCCCAGCCUUCAAUGCCCAGUGCUCCACAUACUUGUCAGCUGCUGCUGGACUUCCCAGCUCUGCUGGCACAGCUGAGGGCAUCCUGGCUGGGAAGCACAGGUGGGCUUGGGAGGGAUGUGCCCUGGUCAGGGACAGUUACAGCUCCACUGUCUGUGUCUCUAGUGGUGGCACAAAGGCUGAGGAAGCUAGAUUUUCCUGUGAAGGACAGUGGAGAACCCAGUGUCCCUCGGGCUGACAAGAACCAUUUCCCAAGACCCAGGGUGCCUGGAGAGGACAUGGGGAAGGGACCAGUGUAUCAGUUGCAUGGAGAUACUAGAGACACACUUGCCCAGCUGGAAAUUGCAGAGCUAGUGCAUUUCUCCCAAAGCAGAGACUAAUACCCUGGAUUAAAAAAAAAGAACAUAAAAAAUAAAGUACCACACAUAUUGCA